CUAUCCACAAAAGACCAAAAUGACACAGACAUUAACAACUAUAGGUCACCGUACGGCUUUCAACAAUGAGCAAAUCCCAUACAGCAUAGUGAGCUAUAAAAGGCCCCGAUAAGACAAUGUAAAACAAUUCAAACGAGAAAACUAACGACCUUAUUUAUGUAAAAAAAAAAUAAACGAAAAACAAAUAUGUAACACAUAAACAAACGACAACCACUGAAUUACAGGCUCUUGACUUAGAACAGGCACAUACAUAAAUAAUGUGGCGGGGUUAAACAUGUUAGCAGGAUCCCAACCCUCCCCUAACCUGGGACAGUGGUAUAACAGUACAACAUAAGAACGAAC
rnacentral:lncRNA from 1 species